ACAUGCAGUCGAGCGGAUCGAUGGGAGCUUGCUCCCUGAGAUCAGCGGCGGACGGGUGAGUAACACGUGGGUAACCUGCCUGUAAGACUGGGAUAACUCCGGGAAACCGGGGCUAAUACCGGAUAACUCAGUUCCUCGCAUGAGGAACGGUUGAAAGGUGGCUUUUCGCUACCACUUACAGAUGGACCCGCGGCGCAUUAGCUAGUUGGUGAGGUAACGGCUCACCAAGGCGACGAUGCGUAGCCGACCUGAGAGGGUGAUCGGCCACACUGGGACUGAGACACGGCCCAGACUCCUACGGGAGGCAGCAGUAGGGAAUCUUCCGCAAUGGACGAAAGUCUGACGGAGCAACGCCGCGUGAGUGAAGAAGGUUUUCGGAUCGUAAAACUCUGUUGUUAGGGAAGAACAAGUGCCGUUCGAAUAGGGCGGCACCUUGACGGUACCUAACCAGAAAGCCACGGCUAACUACGUGCCAGCAGCCGCGGUAAUACGUAGGUGGCAAGCGUUGUCCGGAAUUAUUGGGCGUAAAGCGCGCGCAGGUGGUUUCUUAAGUCUGAUGUGAAAGCCCACGGCUCAACCGUGGAGGGUCAUUGGAAACUGGGGAACUUGAGUGCAAAAGAGGAAAGUGGAAUUCCAAGUGUAACGGUGAAAUGCGUAGAUAUUUGGAGGAACACCAGUGGCGAAGGCGACUUUCUGGUCUGUAACUGACACUGAGGCGCGAAAACGUGGAGAGCAAACACGACUAUAGAG
rnacentral:rRNA from 1 species